AUGGUAUCUCCCCUGACGAUGGUAUCUUCCCCCCACAUUGGGACACCUUUGGCAGUGGUAGGAGCAGCGGCCCUGUUAUUUGUCUACUUUACUUAUUGAUCAUCACUCAGGCAAGAAUAUUAUAUAGCUGUCCUUGUCUUAUUGACCUGACUACACUGCUACCUCUGACACAGCUCCUGGAGCACCACCAAACACUGUCGAACUGUGGGAGAUGAGUCUGGCAUUGUGGAGAACCAUGGGAGAGGGACAUGAUGUAUCAUGGAAGGAUUCCUGAGCUGGGGGAAAAUCGUCUUAUGUUCGGACUUUUGCUACUCGUUC
rnacentral:lncRNA from 1 species